GAAGUGUUUUAAUCAUAAUACAAUCACGGCUAAGUAUAAUCAAGGAAUACUCUAUCAACAUCCAAAGUAAAACUUAUAUAACCGACGACUUAGAAACCUUCACAAAGAUGUUGCGUAAUGGGAAGACACCAGCGAAGCAUUUAACAGCUUAUUCUGUGGAA